rnacentral:rRNA from 1 species
AACGAACGCUGGCGGCAUGCCUAACACAUGCAAGUCGAACGAAGCCUUCGGGCUUAGUGGCGCACGGGUGCGUAACGCGUGGGAAUCUGCCCCUUGCUUCGGAAUAACAGUUAGAAAUGACUGCUAAUACCGGAUGAAGUCUUCGGACCAAAGAUUUAUCGGCAAGGGAUGAGCCCGCGUAGGAUUAGGUAGUUGGUGGGGUAAAGGCCUACCAAGCCGACGAUCCUUAGCUGGUCUGAGAGGAUGAUCAGCCACACUGGGACUGAGACACGGCCCAAACUCCUACGGGAGGCAGCAGUGGGGAAUAUUGGACAAUGGACGCAAGUCUGAUCCAGCAAUGCCGCGUGAGUGAUGAAGGCCUUAGGGUUGUAAAGCUCUUUUACCAGGGAUGAUAAUGACAGUACCUGGAGAAUAAGCUCCGGCUAACUCCGUG